rnacentral:rRNA from 1 species
CGUAGGGCGCAAGCGUUGUCCGGAAUUAUUGGGCGUAAAGAGCUCGUAGGCGGUCUGUCACGUCGGAUGUGAAAGCCCGGGGCUUAACCCCGGGUCUGCAUUCGAUACGGGCAGACUAGAGUGUGGUAGGGGAGAUCGGAAUUCCUGGUGUAGCGGUGAAAUGCGCAGAUAUCAGGAGGAACACCGGUGGCGAAGGCGGAUCUCUGGGCCAUUACUGACGCUGAGGAGCGAAAGCGUGGGGAGCGAACAGGAUUAGAUACCCUGGUAGUCCACGCCGUAAACGGUGGGAACUAGGUGUUGGCGACAUUCCACGUCGUCGGUGCCGCAGCUAACGCAUUAAGUUCCCCGCCUGGGGAGUACGGCCGCAAGGCUA